rnacentral:rRNA from 1 species
UACGGGGGGUGCAAGCGUUGUCCGGAAUCACUGGGCGUAAAGGGCGCGUAGGUGGUUUGAUAAGGGUGUGGUGAAAGCCCGGGGCUCAACCCCGGGUCUGCCGUGCCGACUGUCAAACUCGAGGGCUGUAGAGGCAGACGGAAUUCCGGGUGUAGCGGUGGAAUGCGUAGAGAUCCGGAGGAAGACCGGUGGCGAAGGCGGUCUGCUGGGCAGUUUCUGACACUGAGAGACGAAAGCUAGGGGAGCGAAUGGG